rnacentral:rRNA from 1 species
GACUCUCGGCAACGGAUAUCUCGGCUCACGCAUCGAUGAAGAACGUAGCAAAAUGCGAUACUUGGUGUGAAUUGCAGAAUCCCGUGAACCAUCGAGUUUUUGAACGCAAGUUGCGCCCGAAGCCUUUUGGUCAAGGGCACGUCUGCCUGGGCGUCACAC